rnacentral:lncRNA from 1 species
UUUAAUCUCUAUAUCUUGACUAAUAACCUGCACAUAGAACAGCAAAAACAUAUUCCAAAGAAAGUGAAGAAAAUUCUCUUAACAAAUUUAGCAAGUCAGAAAAAUGUUGAACUCAAAGUCAUAGCUCAGGAAAUCCUCAUCAAUCCAUUUUAGCUGUGAGGAGUAAAGACAAGUUAGAUUAAAUAGCUAUCAAUGAUACAAUCAACCAAACACAGUAGCUCUAGUAUGGUAAAAGAAUAUUGAAAUGGUCAAAUAAUAGUGAAUUUCCCAAAGAAUAGGAAACUUAAAUGACCAAUGCCUAUCUUAGCGCCAAGUAACCCAAGGGUCUUUUCUUGAAACUUAAUCUCUAACUUUUUCUUAACAUUUUAAUCAUUACAGUAAUGACCAUAAUGAUUUCAGUAUCAGUAUUUCAACUUGCACUUUUUCCCACACCUUUCUUCUUUUCUUUUAUGUCCCUCCUCAUACUGCCAAUGCCUCUCAUCCUUUUUUCAACAAGUUUAUACCUAUAAAUAUUGAAGUUCAAGAAAUGAACCCAAAAGGUUAAAGAUGAAAUAUACAAAUUUAUUACCAAGUAAAACUUACUCUAACACAAAAGUGUAAUCAAUCUAUAAAAUUAAUCAAUGAAAAGAAACUAAUGAUUCGUUAUUCAAAAGCCCAUCAAAAGAAGAUGACAUUUUCACACUACAAAAUAGUCUAUCUAGAUAGCCAAAUAAGGAAGCUGACAUGCUAUGGAGUUCCAAAUACGGAUGUGCACAAUAUUUGCUCAACCAAGUCACCUAGUUUAAGAUAUUCUCACCUGUCAAUUAAGUAGAACUUAUACUAUCAUUAAAACCCAAAAAAGGAAAAACAAUAAUAAAAGGUGAACAAACAACUAC